UUUAGAUGAUGCAUGUAUUUCAUAGUGAAUUACCAAUGAUGGGAACCACUGCAACCAGAAAGUAGUGCUAUGAUCACUGUGAAUGAUAAUUACAUAAAUAAAUGCAGAACAUAAUGUGACUGUUUUAACCUUUCUUGGCACAAGAAGCAAGCUGAUGUGGACAACAAAUGUCAGCAGUGGAACGGUGCUGCUGUGGUUUGUGUAGCUGUUUAUAGUUCUAUGAGCUCAUUAUAAAGGGGAAGGAAGCACAAAGACACUUUACAAGGAAACAGCUUCACCGUUAGAACACGUUGACUUUAGCACUGCAGCAGGGUUGGGUGUGACAAUGAGGCACUCUUUGUUCUGCAUGCUUGAUUUAUUAUUGCUCAGUACGGUCUUCUAUGGAAAUGCUACAGCCAGUAAACCUCGGGCCUUAAUAACAGCACAUGAGGGAGUUAUACCAGCAGGGGGCAGUGUGACACUGAGCUGCUCUGUGGAGGGCUCUGC